rnacentral:rRNA from 1 species
GUUGAACGCUGGCGGCAGGCUUAACACAUGCAAGUCGAGCGGAGAUGAGGUGCUUGCACCUUAUCUUAGCGGCGGACGGGUGAGUAAUGCUUAGGAAUCUGCCUAUUAGUGGGGGACAACAUUCCGAAAGGAAUACUAAUACCGCAUACGUCCUACGGGAGAAAGCAGGGGAUCUUCGGACCUUGCGCUAAUAGAUGAGCCUAAGUCGGAUUAGCUAGUUGGUGGGGUAAAGGCCUACCAAGGCGACGAUCUGUAGCGGGUCUGAGCGGAUGAUCCGCCACACUGGGACUGAGACACGGCCCAGACUCCUACGGGAGGCAGCAGUGGGGAAUAUUGGACAAUGGGGGGAACCCCGAUCCAGCCAUGCCGCGUGUGUGAAGAAGGCCUUAUGGUUGUAAAGCACUUUAAGCGAGGAGGAGGCUACUGAGACUAAUACUCUUGGAUAGUGGACGUUACUCGCAGAAUAAGCACCGGCUAACUCUGUGCCAGCCGCCGCCGUAACAC